CCACCUGGGGAGUACGCCGGCAACGGUGAAACUCAAAGGAAUUGACGGGGGCCCGCACAAGCGGAGGAACAUGUGGUUUAAUUCGAUGAUACGCGAGGAACCUUACCCGGGAUUGAAAUGUAGAUGACGGAUGGUGAAAACCGUCUUCCCUUCGGGGCUUCUAUGUAGGUGCUGCAUGGUUGUCGUCAGCUCGUGCCGUGAGGUGUCGGCUUAAGUGCCAUAACGAGCGCAACCCACAUCGGUAGUUGCUAACAGUUUUCGCUGAGGACUCUACCGAGACUGCCGUCGUAAGGCGUGAGGAAGGUGUGGAUGACGUCAAAUCAGCACGGCCCUUACAUCCGGGGCGACACACGUGUUACAAUGGGAGGGACAAAGGGCAGCUACCGGGCGACCGGAUGCGAAUCUCUAAACCCUUCCCCAGUUCGGAUCGGAGUCUGCAACUCGACUCCGUGAAGCUGGAUUCGCUAGUAAUCGCGCAUCAGCCAUGGCGCGGUGAAUACGUUCCCGGUCCGUUCCCCCCCCCCGUCAAGCCAUGGGAGUCGGGGGUACCUGAAGGGCGUAACCGCAAGGGCGCACUAGGGUAAACCCCCGGUUA
rnacentral:rRNA from 1 species